rnacentral:rRNA from 1 species
AUGAGCAGGAUAUUGGUGAUCGGCGGGACGGGGAACAUCGGGCAGCACCUUGUGACGGCGAGCCUCAACGCCGGCCACCGGACGGCUGUGCUCGUCCGCCCGACCACCGUCGCACCCGACUCCGACAAGGCGAAGCUCUUGAACUCCCUCGAGGCCCGCGGAGUCAGCGUUGUCUACGUACCAGUGGACCACGGGAGCUUGGUGGCGGCGAUCAAGCAGCAUGGGGAGGUUGUAAUCUCCGCCGUCGGACACGGCAGGCCGGAGGAGCUGGACGGCCAGAUCAAGAUCAUCCAAGCGAUAAAGGAGGCUGGAGAUGUGAAGCGUUUUGUGCCAUCUGAAUUCGGGUGUGACGUGGAGCAUCAUGCCGAGCGCACCCUGGAGCCAGCAAAGAGCAUGAUAGUAGAAUCCAAGCUUCGAGUUCGGCGAGCCAUCACAGACGUAGGGAUUCCUCAUACCAUCAUCUGCAGCUACUGGGCUAUUGGCUUGCUGUUUUCUACACUCGGCAACUCCGGAGAAAAUGGCCCUCUGUCGACGGCGGUGGACAUCUUUGGUGACGAAAAAUCACGAGCCAUCUUUGUAGACGAGAAGGAUAUGAGCAUGCUGACCAUAAGAGCCGUGGAGGACCCACGAACGCUUGACAAGAUCCUGCACGUGCGCCCUCCCGCCAACAUGCGCUCCUUCGGCCAGCUCCUCCAUCUCCUGGAGAAGAAAACCGGCAGGACGUUCGAGAGGCACUACAUCACCGAACAGGAGCUCGCCAAGAAAAUCCAAGAGGCUCCAUUCCCUCUCAACUUUCAGCUGGCGAUGGUGCACUCGACGCUGGUGCACGCCGGGGCGUGUGAGCGCGCGGUCGACCCGGCUGUUGACGUGGAGGCGACGCGGCUGUACCCGGACGUACAGUUCCUCACGGUGGAGGAGUGCUUGGAUGGCCUUCUUCUCUGA